rnacentral:rRNA from 1 species
GUACACUCCUGCGGGAGGCAGCAGUGGGGAAUAUUGCACAAUGGGCGCAAGCCUGAUGCAGCCAUGCCGCGUGUAUGAAGAAGGCCUUCGGGUUGUAAAGUACUUUCAGCGGGGAGGAAGGCAAUACGGUUAAUAACCGUGUUGAUUGACGUUACCCGCAGAAGAAGCACCGGCUAACUCCGUGCCAGCAGCCGCGGUAAUACGGAGGGUGCAAGCGUUAAUCGGAAUUACUGGGCGUAAAGCGCACGCAGGCGGUCUGUCAAGUCGGAUGUGAAAUCCCCGGGCUCAACCUGGGGACUGCAUUCGAAACUGGCAGGCUUGAGUCUUGUAGAGGGGGGUAGAAUUCCAGGUGUAGCGGUGAAAUGCGUAGAGAUCUGGAGGAAUACCGGUGGCGAAGGCGGCCCCCUGGACAAAGACUGACGCUCAGGUGCGAAAGCGUGGGGAGCAAACAGGAUUAGAAACCCUAGUAGUCCCA